GUUCAGUGGCAGUAGAAGCAACAGCGGUGAUAGUAUUGGCAGUGACAGCAGUAUAGGAAAUGGAAGCCAAAUUCCUGUGGAAUGAAUGAAGAGGAAAUGUGCGAGUGGCAGCCCUUGCCUACCACAGGAUCCUCUGGAAGGAGAGGGUCUGAAAAGUAAUGGCUCUUUCCUCUGGUGUGGACUUGUAGCAGGACUCGGACCUGAGCCCUAGGACCAUGCCUCAGGACUACCUGGUAUGAUGACUCCUUGCUGUCCCCAGUCCACCUGGCCGUGCUGCUGCUCCAGUUUCAACUGUUCUGCCUGCGGCUAUGGAACCCUGACCUGUUCACCGGACGUGCUUGUUGCACCCUCGACAACUACUAUGAUUAUUAUUACUUGACCAUGCUGGUCAUUUAUGAACAUUUUAACAUUUUAACAUUUUGACCAUGUUCUGUUUUAAUAUCCACCCUGCACAGCCAGAAGAGGACUGGCCAC
rnacentral:lncRNA from 1 species